rnacentral:rRNA from 1 species
AUUGAACGCUAGCGGGAUGCCUUACACAUGCAAGUCGAACGGAGUGGCGAACGGGUGAGUAAUGUAUCGGAACGUGCCCAGUAGCGGGGGAUAACUACGCGAACGCGUAGCUAAUACCGCAUACUAUUGGAGCGGCCGAUAUCGGAUUAGAUAGUUGGUGGGGUAACGGCUCACCAAGGCGACGAUCCGUAGCGGGUUUUAGAGGACGACCAGCCACACUGGGACUGAGACAUGGCCCAGACUCCUACGGGAGGCAGCAGUGGGGAAUUUUGGACAAUGGGGGAAACCCUGAUCCAGCCAACCAGCAUGUGCGAUGAAGGCCUGCGGGUUGUAAAGCACUUUUGGCAGGAAAGCGGUACCUGCAGAAGAAGCACCGGCUAACUCCGUGCCAGCAGCCGCGGUAAUUC